rnacentral:rRNA from 1 species
AGUUUGAUCAGUGCUCAGAACGACGCUGGCGGCGCGUUUAAGCAUGCAAGUCGAGCGGCAAGGGCCUUCGGGCCCCUAGAGCGGCGGACGGGUGAGUAACACGUGGACAAUCUGCCCCCCGGCCCGGGAUAGCCCAGGGAAACCUGGAUUAAUACCGGAUGAGACGGGACCCGCGAUGGCGGGAUCCGGGAAAGGCGCUGCGGCGCCGCCGGGGGAUGAGUCUGCGUCCCAUUAGCUAGACGGCGGGGUAACGGCCCACCGUGGCGACGAUGGGUAGCCGGCCUGAGAGGGUGGACGGCCACAUUGGAACUGAGACACGGUCCAGACUCCUACGGGAGGCAGCAGCUAAGAAUCUUCCGCAAUGGGCGAAAGCCUGACGGAGCGACGCCCGCGUGAACGAAGGAGGCCGUGAGGUUGUAAAGUUCUUUUCGGGAGGGGGAACAACCGUGGCAGGGAAUGGCCGCGGGAUGACGUGAAUCCCGGAAUAAGCCCCGGCUAACUACGUGCCAGCCGCUGC